AUUGAACGCUAGCGGGAUGCUUUACACAUGCAAGUCGAACGAGUGGCGGACGGGUGAGUAAUACAUCGGAACCCUCCCAGUAGCGGGGGUUAGCUACUCGAAAGAGUGGCUAAUACCGCAUACCAUGGGCGCGCCUGCUAUGGGAUUAGCUAGUUGGUGGGGUAAUGGCUCACCAAGGCAACGAUCCGUAGCUGGGUUGAGAGGACGACCAGCCACACUGGGACUGAGACACGGCCCAGACGCUUACGGUAGGCAGCAGUGGGGAAUUUUGGACAAUGGGCGAAACCCUGAUCCAGCCAUCCCGCGUGUAUGAGAAGGCCUUCGGGUUGUAAAGUACUUUUGGCAGAGAAGCGGUAUCUGCAGAAUAAGCACCGGCUAACUACGUGCCAGCAGCCGCGGUAAUAC
rnacentral:rRNA from 1 species